GAUGAACGCUGGCGGCGUGCCUAAUACAUGCAAGUCGAGCUAACGGACUAGAAGCUUGCUUCUCUGAUGUUAGCGGCGGCCGGGUUAGUAACACUUGGAUAACCUACCUAUAAUACUGUGAUAACUUCGGGAAACCGUCGCUAAUACCGGAUAAUAUUUUGAACCGCAUUGUUCAAAAGUGAAAUACGUUCUUGCUGUCACUUAUAGAUGGAUCCGCGCUGCAUUAGCUAGUUGGUAAGGUAACGGCUUACCAAGGCAACGAUGCAUAGCCGACCUGAGAGGGUGAUCGGCCACACUGGAAAUGAGACACGGUCCAGACUCAUACGGGAGGCAGCAGUAGGGAAUCUUCAGCAAUGGGCGAAAGCCUGACGGAGCAAAGACGCGUGAGUGAUGAAGGUCUUCGGAUCGUAAAACUCUGUGAUUAGGGAAGAACAUAGGUGUAAGUAACUGUGCACAUCUUAACGGUACCUAAUCAGAAAGCCACGGCUAACUACGUG
rnacentral:rRNA from 1 species